CUGUGACUGACUACAGCCUUAAUAUAGUGUGUGUGUGUGUGUGUGUGUGUGUGUGUGUAUACAUACAUACAUACAUACAUACAUACAUACAUACAUACAUACAUAU
rnacentral:miRNA from 14 species